CUGACCGUAACUGUUUGUCCAGACAUACAGUCCUCCAGCUGUCUCACCAACAUGUGCUGCCAGCGCACUGGGGUCCCUUCAGUUAGCAAACAAGCCUCUACUGACCCAACAGGAGAGGGGACUGUGAACGUGAAGUCAAGGGAGCCACGACAAAAGUAAGGCAAAUAAUCAAAUCAGCAUUGUGUUUCCCUGAGGUUCCAAUCAGACUCUGAGCGAUGGUGGGGUGGGGGAGGAUCUGGAUGAUGCUGAUGAUAAUAAAGGCAUGAUUUUUGACAAAAGGUUUCAUGGGAAAAUUAUAGAAUGAUUUGAUUUCCAUGCCACAUUUCUGCCUGGUACAAAAAAGAUGGGCCUUAAUAAAUACUCCCCUGUGAUGAAUUAUAAUUGAACAACAAAAGAAAUGUAGGAGCAUCUGUCUGAAGGAGCAUCAGAUGAUCAUGAGCAGCAUGGCAAAAGCAGCAGGUGAAUGUUUUAAGUGACAACAUCUACCAGCUGGAGAAAGUGUGUGUGAAGCCAUGCGCCAACCUUUUCUCCACAGGUCACUGCCAUGUCAGACGCCGCCCACGUGGUGUUCAUGGCAACCACAGCCUAGAAGAACAAUAGGGGCACAACAGAGCACAGUGAAUUGCUUUCCAAAAAUAGGCAAAACUGCCACUAGCUGAUAAUUGUGUGUGUUCAGUGUCAUCCUAUUCAAAACUUAGAUAUCUCAUCUUUCAACAAGAGUAUGCUCGUUUGACACACAGCCAAAUACACUAUGGAAGACAGGAUGAGAGAUGGAGAGCCCUUUGGGUGUAAUUAUAGAAGAACAAGCAGGACGAAAAGACAGGAGAAUUAAAUGAAGCAGUCUAAACUGACACAUCAGGUUUCUGAAGGUGAAACUUGUGUGUUUACUGUGUCCAGCAUGUCAAAUAAUUCAGCUGCCACACUUAAUCACCAGCUUAUUAUUUGACUAAUGAUACAGCAUAGGAUUGUUUCCUUCACAGUAUCUCGG